GACGAACGCUGGCGGCGUGCUUAACACAUGCAAGUCGAACGGAAAGGCCCUGCUUUUGUGGGGUGCUCGAGUGGCGAACGGGUGAGUAACACGUGAGUAACCUGCCCUUGACUUUGGGAUAACUUCAGGAAACUGGGGCUAAUACCGGAUAGGAGCUCCUGCUGCAUGGUGGGGGUUGGAAAGUUUCGGCGGUUGGGGAUGGACUCGCGGCUCAUCAGCUUGUUGGUGGGGUAGUGGCUUACCAAGGCUUUGACGGGUAGCCGGCCUGAGAGGGUGACCGGCGACAUUGGGACUGAGAUACGGCGCAGACUCCUACGGUAGGCAGCAGUGGGGAAUAUGGCACAAUGGGCGGAAGCGUGAUGCAGCAACGCCGCGUGCGGGAUGACGGCCUUGGUGUUGUGAACCGCAUUCGCCUGUGACGAAGCGGGAGUGACGGUAAUGGGUAAAGAAGCACCGGCUAACUACGUG
rnacentral:rRNA from 1 species